UUAUAUCACGUGACCAGACUCAGCUGAUACACAGAAGCAGGAAAUUUUGAUUUCUCGGAUGAAUUGGAGUCUUUAGUUUGGAAGACUGGGGUGUUUUUGGUCUUUUUUUGUGUUAAAUAAAACUGGAAGCCAUGCACGAUAGUCGAUUUAUGUGAACCCGAAUCUACUGGUGCCAUAAAAACCGUCAAAGGGAUGGAGAUGCUUAUGGAUCCCUCUCACCUCCUCAGAGGUUCCUCUAAUGGCACGAACACGACCGAGCUGACGUACGGCUUCGUAUCCUGUGCAGUUUCCGUCCUCUUCUUUGGGAGCAACUUUGUUCCUGUAAAGAAAAUCGACACUGGCGAUGGCAUGUUUUUCCAGUGGGUGCUCUGCGCUGCUAUAUGGACCGUGGCUCUGAUUGCGAACAUCAUCUUAAACAGCCCGAAGUUCUGGCCCCUGGCUAUGCUGGGAGGAGCCAUAUGGGCCACAGGAAACAUUACGGUCGUGCCCAUACUCAAGACCAUCGGUCUCGGCCUAGGCCUUUUAAUUUGGGCUUCUUUCAACCUCUUGAUGGGCUGGGCCAGCUCACGAUUUGGCUGGUUUGGUAUUGAAGCGGAGAAAGUCAGCAACCCGAUACUUAACUACUGCGGAGCUGGAUUGUGUUUGCUUAGCGCCAUGGUGUUUUUCUUUGUGAAGACCAAUGUUCAGAGGCCUGUUGCAGCUGAAGAGACGCCACUGCUAAUAGACAGUAGUGUAAACACCAGCCCUCACACAUCAUCGGAUAACUCGUGGGUGGACAUGUUGCCGCCUCUCACUAAGCGCCUGGUAGGUUCAGGAAUGGCCGUAGUAGCUGGACUCCUCUACGGUUCAUCGUUCAUCCCCAUGCUGUACAUCAAAGUCCACGCAAGUCAGCAUGACAGCCAAUAUGUUGGGGCGAGCCAGUUCGAUCUGGAUUACGUCUUCGCUCAUUUCAGUGGGAUCUUUCUCACCAGCACUGUAUACUUCAUCAUCUACUGCGCCUUCAAAAAGAACAAACCGCAAGUGUUCCCUAAAGCCGUGCUCCCAGGGUUUGUUUCUGGGCUGAUGUGGGGUGUGGCCACCUGCUGCUGGUUCCUGGCCAAUCAUUACCUGAAGCCACUGGUGAGCUUCCCCAUCAUUACUACGGUUCCUGGGCUUAUUGCUGCUUUAUGGGGGGUCGUGGUUUUUAAAGAAGUGAAGGGAUUGAGGAACUACCUACUUCUCAUCCUGGCGUUUUGUAUGAUCGUGAGUGGAGCGUUACUGACUGGCUUCUCGCUGUAGUUACACAUCAGCACCACACGAUGGAGACAAAAACACCUAAUCUUUCCAUUAGGCUUCGUAAACCUCGUUCUGUACCUCAGCAUGAAGAUCUUAUUUAUGAUGAAUAUCCUGAUUUCUGUGAAAAGUGUCAGAAAAAUCAGAUCAAAUAUGAAAAAUGAGACCAAAACCUGAGACUCUUCUUUGAGUUGAGUUCUUUUGGAUAGACUGUAACUGACCUGUAAUAUAACCCCAGCUUUUCCUACAGCAGUUUUAAUUUCUAAAAUGUGCACGUUUUACAAUUUACAUGUAAAUUUGCAACACAUGGUUAUAGUUAAUUAUCCAUGAUGCCGCCUCUAGAACAAGCUCUUACGCCGAAUUCACAGAAAAAUUUACUACUGAUCACAAAUGUUCUGAAUGCAGCAUCAUGGAGAAUAAACCAUAACUGUUUGUUACGCCGGUGCGUAGAUUCACGUGGAGAAAAAUAAGAAAAAAAACAAGAAAAAAAAACAAAUUCUAAUGCGUGGCCUCUUUAGAACUUAGAGUUCAAAGAAGAUGUUCAAAAGGUUUGAGAUCUUUUAUCUUGUGUGCUUAUUAAGUGCAUUAGUGAUUUCCUGGCACUUUGUUUAAUGUCCUAUUAUUCUGAAGGGAUCGCAAUCAGGCAGCUGAUUAUCAGAACUGUAACAGUUUAAUAAAAGCUCUUUUUUGA